AUUGAACGCUGGCGGCAUGCUUUACACAUGCAAGUCGAACGGUAACAGGCCGCAAGGUGCUGACGAGUGGCGAACGGGUGAGUAAUGCAUCGGAACGUGCCCAGUCGUGGGGGAUAACGCAGCGAAAGCUGUGCUAAUACCGCAUACGAUCUAUGGAUGAAAGCGGGGGACCGUAAGGCCUCGCGCGAUUGGAGCGGCCGAUGUCAGAUUAGGUAGUUGGUGGGGUAAAGGCCUACCAAGCCGACGAUCUGUAGCUGGUCUGAGAGGACGACCAGCCACAAUGGGACUGAGACACGGCCCAGACUCCUACGGGAGGCAGCAGUGGGGAAUUUUGGACAAUGGGCGCAAGCCUGAUCCAGCAAUGCCGCGUGCAGGAAGAAGGCCUUCGGGUUGUAAACUGCUUUUGUACGGAACGAAACGGCCUGGGUUAAUACCCUGGGCUAAUGACGGUACCGUAAGAAUAAGCACCGGCUAACUACGUGCCAGCCGCCGCCGUAA
rnacentral:rRNA from 1 species